rnacentral:rRNA from 1 species
UACGUAGGGGGCAAGCGUUGUCCGGAAUCAUUGGGCGUAAAGAGCGUGUAGGCGGCCCGGUAAGUCUGAUGUGAAAGCCCACGGCUCAACCGUGGAGGGUCAUUGGAAACUGGGGGACUUGAGUGCAGGAGAGAAGAGUGGAAUUCCACGUGUAGCGGUGAAAUGCGUAGAGAUUUGGAGGAACACCAGUGGCGAAGGCGACUUUCUGGUCUGUAACUGACACUGAGGCGCGAAAGCGUGGGGAGCAAACAGG